AAUUUUGGACAAUGGGUGAAACCCUGAUCCAGCCAGCCCGCGUGUAUUAUGAAUGCCUNCGGGUUNUNAAGUACUUGUGUCAGAGNCGAAAAGGUAUCUCCUAAUACGAGAUACUGCUGACGGUAUCUGCAGAAUAAGCACCGGCUAACUACGUACCAUCAGCCGCGGUAAUACGUAGCGUGCAAGCGUUAAUCGGAAUUACUGGGCGUAAAGCGUGUGUAGGCGGUUCGGAAAGAAAGAUGUGAAAUCCCAGGGCUCAACCUUGGAACUGCAUUUUUAACUGCCGAGCUAGAGUAUGUCAGAGGCGGGUAGAAUUCCACGUGUAGCAGUGAAAUGCGUAGAUAUGUGGAGGAAUACCGAUGGCGAAGGCAGCCCCCUGGGAUAAUACUGACGCUCAGACACGAAAGCGUGGGGAGCAAACA
rnacentral:rRNA from 1 species